rnacentral:rRNA from 1 species
GUGGUACUCGAGCGGCGAACGGGUGAGUAACACGUGAGUAAUCUGCCUCUGGCUUCGGGAUAGCCACCGGAAACGGUGAUUAAUACCGGAUAUGACAUCUUCACGCAUGUGAUGGGUGUGGAAAGUUUUUUCGGCCAGGGAUGUGCUCGCGGCCUAUCAGCUUGUUGGUGGGGUAAUGGCCUACCAAGGCUUCGACGGGUAGCCGGCCUGAGAGGGUGACCGGCCACACUGGGACUGAGACACGGCCCAGACUCCUACGGGAGGCAGCAGUGGGGAAUAUUGGACAAUGGGCGGAAGCCUGAUCCAGCAACGCCGCGUGAGGGAUGACGGCCUUCGGGUUGUAAACCUCUUUCAGCACAGACGAAGCGCAAGUGACGGUAUGUGCAGAAGAAGGACCGGCCAACUACGUGCCAGCAGCCGCGGUAAUACGUAGGGUCCGAGCGUUGUCCGGAAUUAUUGGGCGUAAAGGGCUCGUAGGCGGUUUGUCGCGUCGGGAGUGAAAACACCGGGCUUAACUCGGUGCUUGCUUUCGAUACGGGCAGACUAGAGGCAUUCAGGGGAGAACGGAAUUCCUGGUGUAGCGGUGAAAUGCGCAGAUAU